rnacentral:rRNA from 1 species
GACGAACGCUGGCGGCGUGCUUAACACAUGCAAGUCGAACGGUGAAGGUGGAGCUUGCUCCGCCGGAUCAGUGGCGAACGGGUGAGUAACACGUGGGCAACCUGCCCCUGACUUCGGGAUAACUCCUCGAAAGAGGUGCUAAUACCGGAUACGAAUCCUGCAGGCAUCUCCGGGAUUGGAAAGUUUUUCGGUCAGGGAUGGGCCCGCGGCCUAUCAGCUUGUUGGUGAGGUAGUGGCUCACCAAGGCGACGACGGGAAGCCGGCCUGAGAGGGCGACCGGCCACACUGGGCCUGAGACACGGCCCAGACUCCUACGGGAGGCAGCAGUGGGGAAUAUUGCGCAAUGGGCGAAAGCCUGACGCAGCAACGCCGCGUGAGGGAUGACGGCCUUCGGGUUGUAAACCUCUUUCAGCAGGGAAGAAGCGAAAGUGACGGUACCUGCAGAAGAAGCACCGGCUAACUACGUGCCAGCAGCCGCGGUAA